rnacentral:rRNA from 1 species
UGGAGUAUGUGGUUUAAUCGAUGCAACGCGAAGAACCUUACCUGGUCUUGACAUCCCGGAGACCCUUAGGAAACUAGGGGGUGCUUCCAUCUGGAAGAAUCUGGAGACAGGUGCUGCAUGGCUGUCGUCAGCUCGUGUCGUGAGAUGUUGGGUUAAGUCCCGCAACGAGCGCAACCCUUGCCUUUAGUUGCCAGCAGUUCGGCUGGGCACUCUAAAGGGACUGCCGGUGUUAAACCGGAGGAAGGUGGGGAUGACGUCAAGUCCUCAUGGCCUUUAUGACCAGGGCUACACACGUACUACAAUGGCCGAUACAAAGGGCAGCGACACUGCGAGGUGAAGCCAAUCCCGUAAAAUCGGUCUCAGUCCGGAUUGGAGUCUGCAACUCGACUCCAUGAAGUUGGAAUCGCUAGUAAUCGUGGAUCAGCAUGCCACGGUGAAUACGUUCCCGGGCCUU